rnacentral:rRNA from 1 species
GUGCCUAAUACAUGCAAGUCGAGCGAACAGACGAGGAUUUUGCUCCUCUGACGUUAGCGGCGGACGGGUGAGUAACACGUGGAUAACCUACCUAUAAGACUGGGAUAACUUCGGGAAACCGGAGCUAAUACCGGAUAACAUGUUGAACCGCAUGGUUCAACAGUGAAAGACGGUCUUGCUGUCACUUAUAGAUGGAUCCGCGCCGCAUUAGCUAGUUGGUAAGGUAACGGCUUACCAAGGCAACGAUGCGUAGCCGACCUGAGAGGGGGAUCGGCCACACUGGAACUGAGACACGGUCCAGACUCCUACGGGAGGCAGCAGUAGGGAAUCUUCCGCAAUGGGCGAAAGCCUGACGGAGCAACGCCGCGUGAGUGAAGAAGGUCUUCGGAUCGUAAAACUCUGUUAUUAGGGAAGAACAAAUGUGUAAGUAACUAUGCACGUCUUGACGGUACCUAAUCAGAAAGCCACGGCUAACUACGUGCCAGCAGCCGCGGUAAUACGUAGGUGGCAAGCGUUAUCCGGAAUUAUUGGGCGUAAAGCGCGCGUAGGCGGUUUUUUAAGUCUGAUGUGAAAGCCCACGGCUCAACCGUGGAGGGUCAUUGGAAACUGGAAAACUUGAGUGCAGAAGAGGAAAGUGGAAUUCCAUGUGUAGCGGUGAAAUGCGCAGAGAUAUGGAGGAACACCAGUGGCGAAGGCGACUUUCUGGUCUGUAACUGACGCUGAUGUGCGAAAGCGUGGGGAUCAAACAGGAUUAGAUACCCUGGUAGUCCACGCCGUAAACGAUGAGUGCUAAGUGUUAGGGGGUUUCCGCCCCUUAGUGCUGCAGCUAACGCAUUAAGCACUCCGCCUGGGGAGUACGACCGCAAGGUUGAAACUCAAAGGAAUUGACGGGGACCCGCACAAGCGGUGGAGCAUGUGGUUUAAUUCGAAGCAACGCGAAGAACCUUACCAAAUCUUGACAUCCUCUGACCCCUCUAGAGAUAGAGUUUUCCCCUUCGGGGGACAGAGUGACAGGUGGUGCAUGGUUGUCGUCAGCUCGUGUCGUGAGAUGUUGGGUUAAGUCCCGCAACGAGCGCAACCCUUAAGCUUAGUUGCCAUCAUUAAGUUGGGCACUCUAAGUUGACUGCCGGUGACAAACCGGAGGAAGGUGGGGAUGACGUCAAAUCAUCAUGCCCCUUAUGAUUUGGGCUACACACGUGCUACAAUGGACAAUACAAAGGGUAGCGAAACCGCGAGGUCAAGCAAAUCCCAUAAAGUUGUUCUCAGUUCGGAUUGUAGUCUGCAACUCGACUACAUGAAGCUGGAAUCGCUAGUAAUCGUAGAUCAGCAUGCUACGGUGAAUACGUUCCCGGGUCUUGUACACACCGCCCGUCACACCACGAGAGUUUGUAACACCCGAAGCCGGUGGAGUAACCUUUUGGAGCUAGCCGUCGAAGGUGGGACAAAUGAUUGGGG